AGCAGUCAUGUCAAAGUUGGUGCUGUCCUGCUGUGGGGUUAGGACUGGCCUUGUGGUUGCCACAAAAACUUGUAGUUCAUGGGCUCCAGGUCUGUGCUGUUGGGCCUGGGGAUAAAAACAUGCAACAGACAAUG